GACGAACGCUGGCGGCGUGCCUAAUACAUGCAAGUCGAGCGCAAAGAUCAGGAGCUUGCUCCUGUGAUUUGAGCGGCGGACGGGUGAGUAACACGUAGGCGACCUACCCUUGAGAUUGGGAUAACUACCGGAAACGGUAGCUAAUACCGGAUACGACCUUUCCACACAAGUGGAAUUGUUAAAAGGCGGAUUUAUCUGCCGCUCAUGGAUGGGCCUGCGGUGCAUUAGCUAGUUGGUGAGAUAGUAGCUCACCAAGGCGACGAUGCAUAGCCGACCUGAGAGGGUGAUCGGCCACACUGGGACUGAGACACGGCCCAGACUCCUACGGGAGGCAGCAGUAGGGAAUCUUCCGCAAUGGACGAAAGUCUGACGGAGCAACGCCGCGUGAGUGAUGAAGGGUUUCGGCUCGUAAAACUCUGUUGUUAAGGAAGAAUACUUGAGGUAGUAACUGGCCUUGAGAUGACGGUACUUAACCAGAAAGCCACGGCUAACUACGUGCCAGCAGCCGCCGUAA
rnacentral:rRNA from 1 species